CCUGGAACUCACUUUGUAGACCAGGCUGGCCUUGAACUCAGAAAUCCGCCUGCCUCUGCCUCCGGAGCGCUGGGAUUAAAGGAGUGCACCCCUAGGCCAGGUGCUUGCUUUUUUUUUUUUUUUUUUUUUAAAAAACCUCUUUCACCUCUUUAGUUGCUAGGACUUUUAGUUUUAGUUUUUGUUUUGUUUAAUACACAGUCCUAUAGAGCCUUGACUGGCCUAGUACUCACUCUGUAGACAAGGCUGAUGUCAAAUUCACAGAGAUCCACCUGCCUCUGCCUAAUGGAGGGAUUAAAAGUGUGCACCACCACCAAACUGGAUUUUUUUUUUUUUGUUCCUCUGUGUGGGCAUCAGAUCCCCUCAAGCUGGUGUUAAUAGUUGUAAGGCCCCUCAUGUGGGUGCUAGGAAUCAAACUCUGAUGCUUUGCAACAUCAGCAAGCGCUUUUAACCCCAGCCCCACCAAGCACCCUCAACUCCCUCCCACAGCGCCACAGAAGGGCAGGUGUGGUGCUUCCGGCCUCUGAGUCCAGCAAGAUGUAGGAGGAUGAAGAGUUCAAGGUCAUGCUCAACUACAAAGUGGGUUUGAGCUCUGGCCUCCGUGGCACUGACUGUCCCUCGGCUGGCAUGUACCAGUGCCUUGUUCUACGGUGAUGUCUCACGGGGCAUGUCCUGUCAUCUGGUGUCCAGCAGGUAUGCUGCAUGCCUUGGUGUUUUCUCUGCGUGUGUACACACCAUGUGAGUGCAGUGACUUCGGAGGCCUGAAGAGGGCGUCAGAUCCCCCGGGACUGGAGUGACGGUUGUGAGUCACAGUGUGCACUCUCUUGAUCAAGAGAAGAGCUUUAAACCGGGUAUUCUGGCCCACGACCUUAGUUCCAGCACUCGGAGACAGAG
rnacentral:lncRNA from 1 species